rnacentral:misc_RNA from 1 species
UUUCCGUAGGUGAACCUGCGGAAGGAUCAUUACCUUUCAAUGCAGAAGAGUUGAGAUGGUUGAGUAUCUCGCCUCUCAAUUCUCGCUGUAUUUUACCCUUGUUUUUCUCAUACUAUUAUUUCCUCGGCAGGCUCGCCUGCCGGGUGAAACAACUUCAAACCUGUUUAAUUUUCAAUCAGCGUCUGAACAAAUUAAUAAUUACAACUUUCAACAACGGAUCUCUUGGUUCUGGCAUCGAUGAAGAACGCAGC